GAUGAAGAACGUAGCGAAAUGCGAUAAGUAGUGUGAAUUGCAGAAUUCAGUGAAUCAUCGAAUCUUUGAACGCACAUUGCGCCCUUUGGUAUUCCUUAGGGCAUGCCUGUUCGAGCGUCAUUUAAACCUUCAAGCUCAGCUUGGUGUUGGGUGACUGUCUGCCGCCUCCGGGCGCGUGGACUCGCCUCAAAAUUAUUGGCGGCCGGUACAUUGGCUUCGAGCGCAGCAGAAACGCGAACUCGGGCCCGUCGUAUUGGCUCCCAGAAGCUAUCUUCACAAUUUUGACCUCGGAUCAGGUAGGGAUACCCGCUGAACUUAAGCAUAUCAAUAAGCGGAGGA
rnacentral:misc_RNA from 1 species